rnacentral:rRNA from 1 species
GUAGGUGGCAAGCGUUGUCCGGAAUUAUUGGGCGUAAAGCGCGCGCAGGUGGGUUCUUUAAGUCUGAUGUGAAAGCCCCCGGGCUCAACCGGGGAGGGUCAUUGGAAACUGGGGAACUUGAGUGCAGGAGAGGAAAGUGGAAUUCCACGUGUAGCGGUGAAAUGCGUAGAUAUGUGGAGGAACGCCAGUGGCGAAGGCGACUUUCUGGCCUGUAACUGACACUGAGGCGCGAAAGCGUGGGGAGCAAACAGGAUUAGAUACCCUGGUAGUCCACGCCGUAAACGAUGAGUGCUAAGUGUUGGGGGGUUUCCGCCCCUCAGUGCUGCAGCUAACGCAUUAAGCACUCCGCCUGGGGAGUACGGUCGCAAGACUG